UCAAACUUGGUCAUUUAGAGGAAGUAAAAGUCGUAACAAGGUCUCCGUAGGUGAACCUGCGGAGGGAUCAUUACUGAGUGAGGGCCUCCGGCCCGACCUCCAACCCCAUGUUUCCACACCUCGUUGCCUCGGGGGCGACCCGGUCCAAUCCGGCCGGGGCCCCCGGUGGACCACUCCAACUCGAGUUUGAAAUGCGUCAGAGUGUAAGGGAUUAAAUGAAGCAAAACUUUCAACAACGGAUCUCUUGGUUCUGGCAUCGAUGAAGAACGCAGC
rnacentral:misc_RNA from 1 species